rnacentral:rRNA from 1 species
GACGAACGCUGGCGGCGUGCCUAACACAUGCAAGUCGAACGGAAAGGCCCUGCUUUUGUGGGGUGCUCGAGUGGCGAACGGGUGAGUAACACGUGAGUAACCUGCCCUUGACUUUGGGAUAACUUCAGGAAACUGGGGCUAAUACCGGAUAGGAGCUCCUGCUGCAUGGUGGGGGUUGGAAAGUUUCGGCGGUUGGGGAUGGACUCGCGGCUUAUCAGCUUGUUGGUGGGGUAGUGGCUUACCAAGGCUUUGACGGGUAGCCGGCCUGAGAGGGUGACCGGCCACAUUGGGACUGAGAUACGGCCCAGACUCCUACGGGAGGCAGCAGUGGGGAAUAUUGCACAAUGGGCGGAAGCCUGAUGCAGCAACGCCGCGUGCGGGAUGACGGCCUUCGGGUUGUAAACCGCUUUCGCCUGUGACGAAGCGUGAGUGACGGUAAUGGGUAAAGAAGCACCAGCUAACUACGUG